UUUAAUUCGAUGAUACGCGAGGAACCUUACCUUGGGCUUAAAUGCAGAGCGACGUCCGCCGAAAGGUGGAUUCCUUCGGGCGAUCUGCAAGGUGCUGCAUGGUUGUCAUCAGCUCGUGCCGUGAGGUGUCGGGUUAAGUCCCAUAACGAGCGCAACCCUUAUCGUUAGUUGCCAGCGGGUAAUGCCGGGGACUCUAACGAAACUGCCGGUGUAAACCGUGAGGAAGGUGGGGAUGACGUCAAAUCAGCACGGCCCUUAUGUCCAGGGCUACACACGUGUUACAAUGGUCGGUACAGAGGGCAGCUACCACGCGAGUGGAUGCUAAUCUCGAAAACCGGUCUCAGUUCGGAUUGAAGUCUGCAACUCGACUUCAUGAAGCUGGAUUCGCUAGUAAUCGCGCAUCAGCCAUGGCGCGGUGAAUACGUUCCCGGGCCUUGUACACACCGCCCGUCAAGCCAUGGAAGCUUGGGGUACCUGAAGUCCGUAACCGCAAGGAGCGGCCUAGGGUAAGACAAGUGACUGGGGCUAAGUCGUAACAAGGUAACCAAGGGCGAA
rnacentral:rRNA from 1 species